rnacentral:rRNA from 1 species
CCUACGGGAGGCAGCAGUGGGGAAUAUUGCACAAUGGGGGAAACCCUGAUGCAGCGACGCCGCGUGAGUGAAGAAGUAUUUCGUUAUGUAAAGCUCUAUCAGCAGGGAAGAAAAUGACGGUACCUGAGUAAGAAGCCCCGGCUAACUACGUGCCAGCAGCCGUGGGAAUACGUAGGGGGCAAGCGUUAUCCGGAGUUACUGGGUGUAAAGGGAGCGUAGACGGCAGUGCAAGUCUGGAGUGAAAGGCGGGGGCUCAACCCCCGGACUGCUCUGGAAACUGUACGGCUGGAGUGCAGGAGAGGUAAGUGGAAUUCCUGGUGUAGCGGUGAAAUGCGUAGAUAUUAGGAGGAACACCAGUGGCGAAGGCGGCUUACUGGACUGUAACUGACGUUGAGGCUCGAAAGCGUGGGGAGCAAACAGGAUUAGAUACCCGUGUAGUC